CAGGGGGAUAAUCGGGAGAAAUCCCGUCUAAUACCGCGUAACGCCGCGGGGCUGCAUGGCCCUGCGGCCAAAGGGAGCGAUUCCGGCAACGGAUGGGCAUGCGUGACAUUAGCUAGUUGGCGGGGCAACGGCCCACCAAGGCGACGAUGUCUAGGGGUUCUGAGAGGAAGGUCCCCCACACUGGUACUGAGACACGGACCAGACUCCUACGGGAGGCAGCAGUGAGGAAUAUUGGUCAAUGGGCGCGAGCCUGAACCAGCCAAGUCGCGUGAGGGAUGACGGCCCUACGGGUUGUAAACCUCUUUUGUCGGGGAGCAAAUUCCGCCACGUGUGGCGGAGUCGAGAGUACCCGAAGAAAAAGCAUCGGCUAACUCCGUGCCAGCAGCCGCGGUAAUACGGAGGAUGCGAGCGUUAUCCGGAUUUAUUGGGUUUAAAGGGUGCGUAGGCGGACUGUCAAGUCAGCGGUAAAAUACGGGGGCUCAACCUCCGCCCGCCGUUGAAACUGACGGUCUUGAGUGGGCGAGAAGUAUGCGGAAUGCGUGGUGUAGCGGUGAAAUGCAUAGAUAUCACGCAGAACUCCGAUUGCGAAGGCAGCAUACCGGCGCCCAACUGACGCUGAAGCACGAAAGCGUGGGUAUCGAACAGGAUUAGAUACCCUGGUAGUCCACGCAGUAAACGAUGAAUACUAGCUGUCCGGGGCGAAUGAGCCCUGGGUGGCACAG
rnacentral:rRNA from 1 species